GAAGAGUUAAUUCGGUUAAAAAUGAUAGUCUGAGUAGUUCUGACCGACUACAGGUUAGCAAGCAUCUAUGUGUUUGAGUUCUAUUCAUUUCGGGAGAUUUUGCCCCUUGUUUUUGUUGUUAAACCUCUUUUUUAGUGUGGCUUUAAUUAUUAGCCGAUUUUAUUUUAUUUUCUACAUUAGUCUUAAAUAGUUGUUCGGUUCAUUUCCCAGAAUAUGUCUUUUUUCUUAAAAAUGAUUUCUUUGGGCAUAAUAUUCCAAGAUAUAGGCUCAAUGUUCACAUGACUGUGUACAUGCUGUUUCUAUAUAUAUAUAAUUUAGUUUAUUAUUAUUAUUAUUUUAUUUUAUUUUGCUGACUUGAAUGUGUGGUAAAGAUCGACCUUACUUUUUUUUUUAUAUGUUUGUUGUCCAUAUGCAUGUGUUGCUAGCUACUGUAUUGACUCAUUCGACUUGGAAUGAUCAACAUGCUCUCUUAGUUACUCUUUUAAAGUUCGUUAGCUUUCAAUGUGUCUCUGUGUAAUAUACUUUAAUAGGAUUGUAUGUCGAUUUAUACUCUCUUGAGCUCGUUCACGGUUCUUAAAUAAAUCGUGUUACUCUCUCUAUUUUUAUCUCAAGUUGGUUUAUAUAUUAAUUAUUUUCCUUUGCUUCGUUUGCAUGUGGAAACUCCUUUGAGUUCAUGGUGGACUCUUUCUCCUCUCUUUUGCAUUUUUAAAUUGAGCCAUAGGCUCAAGUCUUCCUCUUCGAGUCAACCUCUCUUUCAUUUGGAUCAUAGAGAAGCUGGUGGACAGGUCCUUGGAGGCAAAAUGCAGGUGGAAUGUGGAAAUAUAAGUCCCAAAAGUCCAGAAAAUGAGUUGUAUACACAAUGUAUACACUGGUAUACAGAUCUAAAUUAUUAAAAACCGGAAAUACGGGUUGCAGGGGUCGAAAAGGAGUGUAUACAUUUGGAAUACGGCCCCAUAUACAUGAAAACGAGCCUAAAUACCGUAUACAGGAUAUACGUAAAGAAUAUACACAGAUUUUCUGAAGGCAAAUAUGCCCAAAGGCCUUGACCCAUUGCUAGCAGGUCCAGGGGGCAGCGAAAAUGGGCCUAAAAAGCCCAAAAGAAUGGCCCAGCAGC
rnacentral:lncRNA from 1 species